rnacentral:tRNA from 1 species
UGGGUAAUAGCUCAGUGGUAGAGCUCAUGCCUAACAUGCACGAGGUCCUGGGUUCAAUUCCCAGUGCCUCCA